AAAAAUGCUGGAGACAAGCACCAUGCGCAAACGGUGGGCGAACAAGAUGCCUACAUGUAAUGAAAUGGCGCGUUUUGGACUUGGAUGACAUUCUGAUCAUUUGCGAUAGUUGCACUUUCUCUCAUGUAGUCGCACUUUCUCACCUCUCCAAGAUCCAAAAGGAAACCCUAUAAACUCUUGCGAAACAAUAUGACUAGAGGGAGAUGAUAGAAGGUCGCCGAGCAGCAAAAUAGAUCGCAUUAAGCUUUGAAGAAACAACAAAAACAGAGGAAAUGAAGAGUGUGCUCUAGGUGCUCGACAAAAUGUCUCAAAGGAAGUCAUAUUCUCAUUUCUAUUCUGUAUAUUUCAUUUUUAAUGCCUAAUACAUCAACUUGACAGCACAUAUCUACAUGUUCAUCAGAUUACAAUCAUUGAUCACAUGGUUCACAUUUAUUCAGUUAGUUAUAGAGGAAUAUUCUGGAGAUUUUUCAGGUGUCAUGUUGUGAUUCGUGCUUGUAGGAUUUUCUUCUAGAAGCUUUAAUACUGGUAGUGCCUCUUGUUGCAGCGUCUUCUUUUAUGAGGAUUCUGUUGCCUCAAUAAGCUUGGAUUUUGAGUUUUGUUUCUGUUAGGAUAUAGGAAGCAAUCUGUUGUAUUUUUUUAUAAGUUAGGAAGCAAUCUGUUGUUAGGUUGUGAAAUUGUUUCUAUUCUCUGCUUUAUGAUCUUUGCUUUGUAUUAUGAUUCUAUUUUUUCUCAUGAAAAGUUCAUCUUUCUAGUUAUUAUUUAUAUUGAUAUCAGCUUACAAAAAAAAUUAUAAUGGUGAUUUGAUGCUUGCUACUUGCAUUUACAAGUGGCCUUUUCACUCAAUUGACUUUUCCUUGGUACAACUCUUAUGGUUCUCUUUGAUAUAGGAGCAGGAAUCCAAGCGUGAUGCAAAGAGACGAAAGAUAUUUUCUGACCUUGAGGAAAGGGAGCAGUCAGCUUUUUCUCCUGACCCUUAUGCAAGAGAGUGAGAAGAAGAGGAGAGAAUUGCUAAGAAGUUGAGAGAAGAGAUUGCAAGAAUACGAGCAAUGCAUGCAAGUAAAGGGGAAAAUAUGACAUCGGGUACAAGUAGAGAGUUCCCAGGAUGAGGAAGGAGAGUACAGGUACUACUAGGCCUAGGGUGGAUAAGGAGAAGGUUCUUCAAGUUUCAUGGAAGAGAAUAUGUGAAGAUAACACAAAGGGGUUGAGAGAGUUGUUUUCUAAGUUUGGUGAGGUGGAAGAUGAUGUCAUUAAAAUUUAAGAGUGCUAAGAAAAAGGGUUCAACACUUGUUGCAAUGGAGAAUAAAUGUGUAUACAGUGAAAAGCUAGGCAGUGCUUUUGUUUGCUAUGCUAUACUUAAUAAAAAUAAAAAUAAUUAUACAAA